rnacentral:rRNA from 1 species
AACGAACGCUGGCGGCAUGCCUAACACAUGCAAGUCGAACGAGACCUUCGGGUCUAGUGGCGCACGGGUGCGUAACGCGUGGGAACCUGCCCUUAGGUUCGGAAUAACUCCCCGAAAGGGGUGCUAAUACCGGAUAAUGUCUUUGGACCAAAGAUUUAUCGCCUUUGGAUGGGCCCGCGUUGGAUUAGCUAGUUGGUAGGGUAAAAGCCUACCAAGGCGACGAUCCAUAGCUGGUCUGAGAGGAUGAUCAGCCACACUGGGACUGAGACACGGCCCAGACUCCUACGGGAGGCAGCAGUGGGGAAUAUUGGACAAUGGGCGAAAGCCUGAUCCAGCUAUGCCGCGUGAGUGAUGAAGGCCUUAGGGUUGUAAAGCUCUUUUACCCGGGAUGAUAAUGACAGUACCGGGAGAAUAAGCUCCGGCUAACUCCGUG